CACUGUAUAGUGUGAUAUCGAAGUAAAGGGUUCGUUCGUAAACGCAGUAUAAUAGUUGCACCGCACAAAUGACGAAAGUUAAGAGUCCGUUAAAAAAUGUGUAGUAGUCUGCUUAAAAGCUAUUUUAUACAACUGUUGGCAAUACUUCGGAAAAGCGACCAGAAUUUAAUAUGACAAGAACAAUAAUCUCUUCGCAAGAUAAUAAAAGCGAGGAAUAACAACAUUUCGACGAAGCUUAUGGUACAAUGCAUUUCAUUAAUACUCCUGAAAAUUUUAAGUCGUCUGUACCGCUACCAAUGAGUGAUGCUACCAAUGACGUUGUUGAAAAUGGCGCUUGCUCUCGGAAAUAUUAAAUAAAUUUUCGCAGUACGAUCGCAAUAGCAAAGCCAUACCUACAUACAUAUGUGCAUAUGUAAGUAUGUACAAAGUUAAUUUUGCAGUAGCAACCACAAGUGGCAAGACUGCAGCAGAGUUCCACAGAAAUACUGUUUUUAUGAACAAACCCAGACAUCAGUCAAAUAUCUUUCUCGCUACUGCAGUGUUGCCUAGCUUUGGAUAUAAAAACGCACUAAAAUGUCCAUUUAAAGAAAAUAAAAUACCAAAUUUUUAUUGAAUUACUUAAAUAACUUUGUAUGCGCAAGAAAUUGUCUUUAAAAUGGUUAUGUACAAUUUAAUUCAUGAGUUUUUUUUAAGAGAACGACUUUUUUUGCUAUAUUUCAGGUUAUGUAACAAGAGGAGGUACUAUUUUUGUAAAAUGUAGUUAUGGUUUUUUUUAGUAUUUUCAUAUAUAUUACUUUGUUGCUUAUUUUUACUAUGAAUACACCUCUGGAUGCCGUAUGUCCCACUAAGUAUUGAUGACCGGAAGAAACGAUUACACCUCUAUGGUUUUAAUUCGCAUUCAGGAAAUUAAAACGCUUUUCGACGUGUGUUUUCAAUGUUAAGAAGCGUUGAGAAAAGAAGAUUUAAUAUUCUAACAUAACCUUAAACGCAGCGAACAAUUAAAUUUUCACUUUGAAAAUAUCAAAUUUUGUAAACGCCAACAACUUUUCAUUAACACUAAAGUCUUCAGAGCGACUUUUUUAAAAUUCUUUUGUUUAAAAAUACAGUUUUUCUUAACUUAGAGUUUCGGUGGUUUUAAAUUAAAAAAAGCACAAAUCUUAACAAUUUUCGCAUUUUGUGUCUAAGGAGUACUAAAUUUAUUGCGAAGAGUAAAUGGCGGCAACACUGCACAACUCAGGUAAUGCGAUGUCACGCACUCUCUGAUGGGCGCAAUCUUGUUUCUAUUAUUCUUGUGUAUUCCCCGUAUUUACAACUGGCAUGCCUACGACUACCGCAAUAAAUUCAUCAACAACAACUUGUUCAGCUGCCUCUACAAAUACUACAAAUACUACAGCAACAACAACUGCAUCAACAAAACUACGCAAUAAGCUGCACUAAAAAAGCAACCAGUUAUUAAACGAGCACGAAACUCACCUAUAAAGGUCUCAACGACGACUACCAGUAACAAAAAAAUAAAACUAACAUCAACCCUGAGUCAAAGUAAGCUGCCAAAUUACCGGCUGAAUGGAACUUCUUCUGCAAACAAAUUUGCAACUUUAGAUGUGGAUGAUGAGAAGAACUUGCUCAAACUGUAAACAGUGGGCAAAUUAUAGCUUGAUUGUCACAAAAUGUAAAUAAGAGCGAAAAAGAAAAAAUAAUAAACCUCCACCAAUAUAUGUUCAAGAUGUAGAAUGUAUAAAAACUUUAAAGAGUGCUUUAAAUGAAGUAGCAAAUAACAGGUUCACUUUAAACAUUUUAGCAAGUAAUGAAGUUGGUGUUAAAGCAGAAAACUUGUAAAUAUAUAACCAAUUAUACCACAUUCUAGAAGAAAAAGAAUCCACAUCGUGUACAUUUAGGAUAAAACUGAAAGAAGGUUUAAAUUAGUCUUACGAAAUAAGCGCUACUCUAUAGACCAAGAAGAUAUUAAAAAAGAAUUAAACGAAAAAGCCAGUAAGUACUUCACAUUACUAAUAUUAUACAAAAUAUAGAUAUAGGGUUUUUCAGUAAGAGCGCUUCAACUUUUGAACUUUUUUGAAUAAAACACAAACGGUUUGACUUUUUUAACUAAUUUUUUUUUUAUUAUCGAGUUUGAACAUAUACAUUUAAGUAUGAAAUUCGAUUUCUUUUGCAUGACCACCGCGGGCACGUUUUACGAAGUCCAAUCGUUGAACGCAAUUUUCGACCACUCUUUUGCAUAAAUCGGCCGAAAUUCCAGCAAUUUCGCGUUCAAUAUUGACUCUGAGCUCACAAAUCGUCGCCGGCUUGUUACUGUAGACCAAUGACUUCACUUAACCCCAAAACGGUACGGCUUGUUAAAUGGACCGUAAAAUGGCCGUAAUGCUCUUAAAGUAGCAGCAACAGAACAAUUAUUUUCACAAAAAAUUUGCACGAUUUGCAAUCGUUGCUCAAGUGUGUAGCGUUCCAUGAUGAAAUGUAUACUAAUGAAGUUUACAAAUGACAAGCGAAAAAUAAAAAAUAUUGCGUCAUUCGCCCUCCCUAUCGGAAAAAAGUUGAAGCGCACCUAUUGAAUAACCCUAUAUAUAUUUAAUCAGCAAACAAGGGUAGAUACAAAUUAAGACCUUAUGACAAGAGUCUUAUAAGUAACUUCUUAAAAGUAAACUUAGAGAAAGAGAAAUCAAAGACUAAGGAAGAAGAAUAAGUAUUAAAUUGUGCUAGAGUCCUUCUAAAAGGAGCAUUCAUUCCAUAAACAGUUUAAGCAAUACCCACAAAAAACAAUUCAUUACAACGGAAAAUGCGUGACCUAGACCUAGACUCUAAGGACAUUCGAUUUAUUAAUAAGCAUGGAGACCGAUAAAAUGGAAUGGUAUCAACGAAUUUCAUUGAGUGCAAAGCAAUACACACAAAAGCUCUGUGAACAGACUCUAAUCUAGUAAUAUAGACUGCAUGAAAUGGUCUCCAAACGAAUACCGCGUAUUCUAACCUGGACCGAACUUAGGACGAGUACAACAGUUUGAGAGUAUAUGGAACAGAAAACGAAGAACUAUUCCGACGAUAAAAGGCUAACAUUGUGAACGAUUUAGAAAGAAUAAAGUUUAUGUGGGUGGUGAAGUUGAGCUUGGAGUCCAAAUAAACACCCAGGUCCUUUAAUUCACUAAUUGACUUUAGCGGCGAGUUCAAGAUGUACGAGUAGUAAGCUGUUGGAACAACUUUAAAUAUAUAUAUAAUAUAUAUAAUUGGCGCUUAUACCCAUUUUGGGUGUUUAGCCGAGCUCCUCCAUCUAUUUGUGGUGUGCGUCUUGAUUUUGUUACACAAAUGUUACCUUUUUCUUCAUUUAUGUGUUUCACCGAUAUUCGAACCUACGUUCUCUCUGAAUUCCGAAUGGUAGUCACGCACCAAGCCAUUCGGCUACGGUGGCCGAAAAUAUACGAUAAUAUAAAAAAACAACGAAAAAAACCACUAGCAUUAUUUUUCAUCGAACUACAAGCAAGUGAUAACAACAAAGACAUUUACAAUAUAAACAAAGUAAUGAACUGCAUAGUCAUCUUUGAGGCACCUUAUCAUAAGCGCACCAUUGCGGAGUGCACGAAAUGCCAAAAAUAUAGCCACACAAAAAAUUAUUGUACAAUAGAUCCAGUAUGCGUGAAAUGCGCUGGUAGAUAUAUCUCAAUAGAAUACAAAAAGCACAUAAAGGAAAUUAAACCUUAAUUGACAAAGAAAUUGACAAAACAUUGAUUGAAACACACUUCACUGACAAAAGUCUCCUAAAAUUUCCAAAAUAUAAAUUGUAUAUGACAAACCAUCCUGAUGGAAGAGCCCAUAAAGAUACAGCUAUAAUUAUUAAAUUAAGUAUGACACGCAUAGAACAACUCCAGUAUUCGACGCCUUAAGGGGCGUAUUCUCAUUAACGCAAUUAAAAAAAUAGUUUAAAAAAACUAAAAAGCACGCUUUUAUUGCCAAUCGAACUAAAAAGUAUAAAAUAAAUUUUAAUGACAAAGAGACCUAUAAUGAAGUAAUAGCAAAUCGAACGAUCAGUCAUAGUCAACUACCUCAGAACAGAAUUAUAACAAAUAUUAAGAUACAAAUAGAAUAAUUCAA